rnacentral:rRNA from 1 species
UCGGGUGAAGGAACUAGGCAAAAUGGUGCCGUAACUUCGGGAGAAGGCACGCUGAUAUGUAGGUGAAGUCCCUGCGGGCGGAGCUGAAAUCAGUCGAAGAUACCAGCUGGCUGCAACUGUUUAUUAAAAACACAGCACUGUGCAAAAAGGUGAGGCGCGCAACUCGCUGGCCAGGGCGGUGUUCUUCAACCGCCUUGGGGAAAUCAGGGAUCGGAGCUUCGAGCAGCAGCGCUACCGGGCCAGCGGCCUCAACCUGGUGACGGCGGCUAUCGUGCUGUGGAACACGGUGUAC